GAAAAACAGGUGGCGUAGCAGGUGGGCAGCACGUUGCCAUGAUGUGCCGUGGCCCGGCCGUGGCUGGCGUGAUCCCACCAGAGUGAGCUGGAGCAGAUCUGCACCAUGGGCCAAGUUUCUCAGAAAAUACAUAGCUUCCUGUGGGCUGCAGCCUAAUGCCCACGUUCCUCUCGGGGAAGACCAAAGGUUAUUCAACCAGGGCAAAGGACAGCCUUGCAAACCAACUACGUCCUCCUUCUGGAGUUUGUGUGACCCCUGGCCCCUGAGCCCACACCCUCUCGGAGCGGGGUUCCAACUCCGUGGAAGCUCUGCUGAGAUGCAGACAGGAAAAUAAGAAGGCAGAAGAUGGUCUGCAAAGGAUAAAAACAGGUGCAUCUAAGAAUGAGAAAAAUGGCUCAUGAAGAAAUGUGUAACUCUCCAAGAGAUGCAGACACUCUGCUCAGAGAAGUCAAGAACCAUAAACAACUCUUCAUGUUUCAUGGACAAAGGGAAGGCAAAGGCAUACAAAAAUACUCAGUUGUCUUGAAAAGUGUACUGGUAGUGAUCAGGGCUACAAAGGCGAGCCCUGUACUGACAAUGGAGGAGCCUUACAACUCAGCACCUUAAAUUGUUGGCCUGAAGUGGUGGCGGGGAGGGAGGCGCUGACGGAGAGACCCAUGGCUCACCACUUAUUGCGUGUACACAAGGCCUGGGGCAAGCCUCACAAGUCUACCAUUUCUUCCACUCAACUGUGCUUCUCCUGAAUCCAUGUGCCUGAAAUGACAUAUGCAAGGUUCUCAAAAAGUGGUGUAGACUCAGGCAAAUGCCAGGAAAUGUGUCCAUAUGCCAGAGGAGACACAGAGCCAGAAAUGAAGGCUAUGGGUCCUGUCUUCAGUGAAACACUGAACGCUCUCGGAAAGCUCCCAUCAUUCUUGCAUCGCUACUGCCACCAAGACGGUGGCAAGGGAGGAGGCUAACUUUCAAAUGCAUGCAACGGCAGAGUUCCUGAAUGAGAGCUUUUCUGGCUUCAGUACCAAUGAUCACAGAAGGAACAUCUUCCUGAUGCAAGCUUAGAUGGAAGUCAAUGACCCUGGCAGUGCUAAGAACAGAAGUCACACGUGGCCUGACGAUGAAGGGGAGGUUCAGAUGGCAUACACCGACAAGAGAAGGCAGAGACCAUCCUUCGUGGUGAGCACAAAAUGCUAUGACAGGUAAUUGCAGAGAGAAAAAAGCACCCAACUCUGUAAAGCCAAGUCCAGUCACCCAUUCACAAGAGUCCAAAAUCCUUCAAAUCUCUAGGGACAGAAGACAAACGUGCUGCCCAGAAUGAGCUGAGACACAAGGCAAACCCUUGGAAAUGACACAUGGAUGAGGAGGCUGUGGUUGUCCCUCCUUAUUCCUGCUGGAUUUGCAGCCACGGCUCUGGAUCUGGGGCAUCUACUGGCCUCCCCUGUUCACUCAAGAGGCCACUGCCUCUCAGGAGUCCAGAAUGCUCUGAUAUCUGACACCGGUGGUCAGGAAGUUAUGCUGCCCUCUCCUCUUGAACAGCUAAGAUGCUUGGACACUAGACAGAGGCAAAGCAGUUAUGCCAGAAGCAGGGGAGAGUCAUUCACUGUCAGAUCUGUCUGUUCAAAGAGCUCACAUUAGACCAAUCACAGAAAACCACCAGACUCACACAGCUUGUAUUUGAAUGAACCAGGAGAGACUUCAAGGAUCAACUCUAAAGUGCUAGAAGAGAAAUCUGUGUUUGGGGCACUGAAUAAACAAGUGAUGUCCUAGAAGAUCAACACCCCAUCAGUCUUAGGAGUAUGACCCUAUUCAUGGACAAGGGGUUUCAAUGGACAGCCUGAGUGCUCAGCCCCCCAUCCUCCUCUCCUAGCAAGACAAGCAGUCUGUUGCUCAGAGGGGGAAACUGAUGUCAUUUAACAGGAGGUCAGGAUUUCUGGUUCUACUUCAACAAACAGUGCAUAAUUUUGGACACAGCAUCAGAUUUCCUGACUUCUUACAAAGGACAGCUAAUUAAAAACGUGUCAAUCUGUAGUAAUUAGUUGGAGAUUAACAAGGGCAGAAGAGAAUCCAAGUCUUAAAACUCUAUGUGGGAUACAUUUCUGAUGAAGCUUCUAUUUGACUAAUAUACUGUGAUGAUGGCACUAUUCGAUUUUAAACUAUGGAGACAGCUUUUAUUAUUUCGAUUUGGAUCCUGGUAAGUGGUGAUACUGCUAUGUAACAGUUAAAGCACAAAUGUAUUGCCAUAGUUAAGGUUGAUGGCUUUGGAGGGGUGCAAAUGCUACGUGUUUGGAAGAGCAGAGGAGGCCUGCAGCUCUCAGUCACCUGUCUCCAUCUU
rnacentral:lncRNA from 1 species